AGUACAUCUGUUAAUUAUGCUGAGCUUUCGUUUGUGGAAUUAAGUCUUACCAUCUUGGUGUCUUAGAUAUGUGGAUCACACUCAGGGAAUCUCAGGGACUCAUCUUUACCUGUUGCUGGCUCUCAAAAUCUUCUCUUCAGCCUUUACAACUCAUCAAGUAUUCUGCUGUCGGCAUUCUCCAGUAACACCACCCCCUCUCUGCACUCGAUCUUUUGGCUGCCUGUGACUGCUCAUAUCAAAAUCAGUACAGGGGUGCUGCUGUACACUUCUCGAGGAGUUUCCAUUGAACAGGUCUGGCAUCGUGCUGAUACAUAAACUGACAACAGUCACAGCAACCAUGAUCACCGACAGGCAGGCAAAGAUCUUCCCUGCAGCGCUCCAUGUACGCCAUCUCCACGCCCCAGUAGGUCAGCUCGUCGUGCAGGGAGAGGAUGCACAUCUCUCGUAGCAGUCGGAGUUUCCCUGCAGCCAAGAAGUUGAGGAUAACCCUAAAGG